AGUGAACGCUGGCGGCGUGCUUAACACAUGCAAGUCGAACGAGAACGGGUUAUAGCUUGCUAUAAUUGUCAGCUAAGUGGCGCACGGGUGAGUAAUGUAUAGGUAAUAUGCCUCUUACUAAGGGGUAACAAAUGGAAACGUUUGCUAAUACCUUAUACUCCUUAUUAACAUAAGUUAAUAAGGGAAAGAUUUAUUGGUAAGAGAUUAGCCUGUAUUGUAUCAGUUAGUUGGUGGGGUAAUGGCUUACCAAGACUAUGACAACUAACUGGUUUGAGAGGAUGAUCAGUCACACUGGAAAUGAGACACGGUCCAGACUCCUACGGGAGGCAGCAGUGGGGAAUAUUGCACAAUGGACGAAAGUCUGAUGCAGCAACGCCGCGUGGAGGAUGACACAUUUCGGUGCGUAAACUCCUUUUAUAUGAGAAGAUAAUGACGGUAUUAUAUGAAUAAGCACCGGCUAACUCCGUGCCAGCAGCCGCGGUAAUAC
rnacentral:rRNA from 1 species